rnacentral:rRNA from 1 species
AGUGAACGCUGGCGGUAGGCCUAACACAUGCAAGUCGAACGGCAGCACAGUAAGAGCUUGCUCUUACGGGUGGCGAGUGGCGGACGGGUGAGGAAUACAUCGGAAUCUACUUUUUCGUGGGGGAUAACGUAGGGAAACUUACGCUAAUACCGCAUACGACCUACGGGUGAAAGCAGGGGAUCUUCGGACCUUGCGCGAUUGAAUGAGCCGAUGUCGGAUUAUCUAGUUGGCGGGGUAAAGGCCCACCAAGGCGACGAUCCGUAGCUGGUCUGAGAGGAUGAUCAGCCACACUGGAACUGAGACACGGUACAGACUCCUACGGGAGGCAGCAGUGGGGAAUAUUGGACAAUGGGCGCAAGCCUGAUCCAGCCAUACCGCGUGGGUGAAGAAGGACUUCGGGUUGUAAAGCCCUUUUGUUGGGAAAGAAAAGCAGCAGGUUAAUACCCCGCUGUUCUGACGGUACCCAAAGAAUAAGCACCGGCUAACUUCGUG